CGGACGGGUGAGUAACGCGUGAGAAUCUGCCCUCAGGAGGGGGAUAACGGCUGGAAACGGUCGCUAAUACCCCAUAUGCCGAGAGGUGAAACGAAUUUCGCCUGAGGAUGAGCCCGCGUCUGAUUAGCUGGUUGGUGGGGUAAGAGCCUACCAAGGCGACGAUCAGUAGCUGGUCUGAGAGGAUGAUCAGCCACACUGGGACUGAGACACGGCCCAGACUCCUACGGGAGGCAGCAGUGGGGAAUUUUCCGCAAUGGGCGAAAGCCUGACGGAGCAACGCCGCGUGAGGGACGAAGGCCUCUGGGCUGUAAACCUCUUUUCUCAAGGAAGAAGAUCUGACGGUACUUGAGGAAUAAGCCACGGCUAAUUCCGUGCCAGCAGCCGCGGUAAUACGGGAGUGGCAAGCGUUAUCCGGAAUUAUUGGGCGUAAAGCGUCCGCAGGCGGCCUUGUAAGUCUGCUGUUAAAG
rnacentral:rRNA from 1 species